rnacentral:lncRNA from 10 species
UUCCUGCCACCCUGCAGGCCGGGAAGUUGGCAGGUGUGGCGGGUGGGGUGAGGGGUCCGAGUCCCAUGGCCUAGGACGUUCAUUUCUCCGAGGCUCGGUCUCUCCUCUGGUGGGACCAUGUCUCGAAGAGCCCCUGGCUUGGCUUCUGGAGCUGGCGGCCAGGUAGGAGCCCCCAGGAAAGCUCCAUCGGCUGCUGCUGAGCCGAGCUCUCCUGAACCCGGCCUGCGCUGCCCCCAGCGCACCUGGACCACAGACCCAAGUGAUGUGAUAUGAAGAGGGAAUGAAACGCUGACAGGGAGCGCUGGCUCACGUCUGUGAUCCCACCACUUUGGGGGGCCGAGAGCCACCAGGAAGAUCAAGGAGCCAGGGCCACCCUCACGUUGCCUAGGCAACAGCAUCCGUGAUCAGACUGUAAGGCAACUGGGACCCAUGCGUGCUCCCCGGGGGAGGCUGCAGGUUCACGUCGGUGUCCGGGUAUCUUACAGAAUGUUCUUAAUCUUCACGUGCUUCUUCUGAGAUCAGUGAUAAAGAAGACACGGAUACAGCAAGAAGGAAGGAGGCCCUGUGCACGACACUAAGAUGAGUGACGCCACAGCACGGACCUUUGCUCAAGAUCCGUCAGCAGGAAAUACCCCCCAAGUGCCGAGAGUGCUGGCAUGCAGCAGAGAAGGCUGAUCUCGCUCUGUCGCCCAGGUUGGGGUGCAGGGGCGCAUUGCUGCCUGGAACUCCUUGACUCAAGCGAUCUUCCCGCCUCACCUUCCCGAGGA